AUUGAACGCUGGCGGCAGGCCUAACACAUGCAAGUCGAGCGGCGAGGCGGACGGGUGAGUAAUACCUAGGUAUCUGCCUGGUAGUGGGGGAUCACGUUCGGAAACGGACGCUAAUACCGCAUACUAUCAGAUGAGCCUAGGUCGGAGUAGCUAGUUGGUGAGGUAAUGGCUCACCAAGGCUACGAUGCGGAACUGGCCUGAGAGGAGGAUCAGUCACACUGGGACUGAGACACGGACCAGACUCCUACGGGAGGCAGCAGUGGGGAAUAUUGGACAAUGGGCGAAAGCCUGAUACAGCCAUGCCGCGUGUGUGAAGAAGGUCUUCGGAUUGUAAAGUACUUUAAGUUGGGAGGCGUUACCGACAGAAUAAGCACCGGCUAACUCUGUGCCAGCAGCCGCGGUAAUAC
rnacentral:rRNA from 1 species